rnacentral:SRP_RNA from 1 species
CCGUGCUAGACGGGGAGGUAGCGGUGCCCUGUAACCCGCAAUCCGCUACAGCGGGGUUGAUCGCCUAACAGCGGUAUUACGAUGUGAGGCUUGGGUCUUAAAGUUGGUGUUGAGAGUCGGGUCCUCCGCAAUGGAUGCCUGCGAAUCUGGUCAGGUCCGGAAGGAAGCAGCCAUAAGCAGGAUGUUCCAUGUGCCGGAGGGUGGCCUAACUUGAGCUGACGAUAAGAAUUCCACUUGGAUCGUAAUAUCCAUGUAGGUGCACGG